rnacentral:rRNA from 1 species
GACGAACGCUGGCGGCGUGCCUAAUACAUGCAAGUAGAACGCAGUUUCGAACGGGUGAGUAACGCGUAGGUAACUGCCUCAUAGCGGGGGAAAACUAUUGGAAACGAUAGCUAAUACCGCAUACUGUGGGAUGGACCUGCGUUGUAUUAGCUAGGUGGUGGGGUAAAGGCUCACCAAGGCGACGAUACAUAGCAGACCUGAGAGGGUGUACGGCCACAAUGGGAAUGAGGAACGGCCCCAACUCCGUCCGGAGGAAGCAGUAGGGAAUCUUUGGAAAUGGACGGAAGUCUGACCGAACAAAGCCGGGUGGGAGAAGAAGGUUUUCGGAUCGGAAAGCUAUGUUGUUAGAGAAGCGGUAACUACCCAGAAAGGGACGGCUAACUACGUGCCAGCAGCCGCGGUAAUAC